UACGUAGGGGGCAAGCGUUGUCCGGAAUCAUUGGGCGUAAAGAGCGUGUAGGCGGCUCGGUAAGUCCGCUGUGAAAGUCCAGGGCUCAACCCUGGAAUGCCGGUGGAAACUGUCGAGCUAGAGUCCGGAAGAGGCGAGUGGAAUUCCUGGUGUAGCGGUGAAAUGCGCAGAUAUCAGGAGGAACACCAAUGGCGAAGGCAGCUCGCUGGGACGGUACUGACGCUGAGACGCGAAAGCGUGGGGAGCGAACCGG
rnacentral:rRNA from 1 species